AUUUGAAAAAUCCAAACUCACCGAAGGAUGGGGACGGAAAGCUGAGGGUCUGCAAAGAUAACCUGGCUACCAUU
rnacentral:ncRNA from 1 species